rnacentral:rRNA from 1 species
GGAUGCGAUCAUACUAGCACUAAAGCACCGGAUCCCAUCAGAACUCCGAAGUUAAGCGUGCCUGGGCGAGAGUAGUACUAGGAUGGGUGACCUCCUGGGAAGUCCUCGUGUUGCAUUCC